ACUACACACCCACCGUCCGAGACCACGAGGUGGUCUUCUGGUUUGGCGAUCUGAACUUCCGUAUAGCGGACCAUGGAAUGCACUUCCUCCGAUCCUCCAUCAACAGCGGACGCUUCAACCUUUUGUGGGAGAGGGACCAGCUGUUAACAAUGAAGAAGAAGGAACCUUUCCUCCAGGAGUUUGAGGAGGGACCUCUGAAGUUUAAACCUACAUACAAGUUUAACCGCAACUCUGACACCUACGAUACCAG